CCACGGAAGAUCAAGAUCUGCCUAGGAACAGUUCAGGCAGACGCUACAGUGCUCCAGGAUGGCCGGGCUUGGAGACCUGCCGCUGAGCAGUAGGAGGCUCCUAAGUAGACACCUGUCCCCGGCGUCCGCGCGUGUCCCCCCAGGAGGAGUCACUGAAGACCUCGUUCCCUCCUUGUCCCUGGCCUGUGCUGGCACCUGGAGUCAAGAUGACUGCUCCACGCCUUACCUGGCUUCCAACUUCUGCGGGAGAACCUGGUGUUGAGGUGUAUAGGCAGGAACAGCGACCCAUGCAGAGAAGUGAACAUUGCACAACAACAGUAUGACCUCUAA